UUGACCUCGAAUCAGGUAGGGAUACCCGCUGAACUUAAGCAUAUCAAUAAGCGGAGGAAAAGAAACCAUCGGGAUUUCCCGCCA
rnacentral:rRNA from 1 species